rnacentral:rRNA from 1 species
GACGAACGCUGGCGGCGUGCUUAACACAUGCAAGUCGAACGGAAAUGCCCUGCUUUUGUGGUGCGCUCGAGUUGCGAACUGGUGAUUAACACGUGAGUAACCUGCCCUUGACUUUGGGAUAACUUCAGGAAACUGGGGCUAAUACCGGAUAGGAGCUCCUGCUUCAUGGUGUGGGUUGGAAAGUUUCGGCGGUUGGGGAUGUACUCGCGGCUUAUCAGCUUGUUGGUGGGGUAGUGGCUUACCAAGGCUUUGACGGGUAGCCGGCCUGAGAGGGUGACCGGCCACAUUGGGACUGAGAUACGGCCCAGACUCCUACGGGAGGCAGCAGUGGGGAAUAUUGCACAAUGGGCGGAAGCCUGAUGCAGCAAAGCGGCGUGCGGGAUGACGGCAUUCGGGUUGUAAACCGAUUUCGCCUGUGACGAAGAGUGAGUGACGGUAAUGGGUAAAGAAGCACCGGCUAACUACGUG